UACGGGGGGCAAGCGUUGUUCGGAAUUACUGGGCGUAAAGGCUCGUAGGCGGCCAACUAAGUCAGACGUGAAAUCCCUCGGCUUAACCGGGAACUGCGUCUGAUACUGGAUGGCUUGAGGUUGGGAGAGGGAUGCGGAAUUCCAGGUGUAGCGGUGAAAUGCGUAGAUAUCGGGAGGAACACCUGUGGCGAAGGCGGCCCCCUGGUUGGAUACUGACGCUGAUACGCGAAGCGUGGGAGCA
rnacentral:rRNA from 1 species